rnacentral:rRNA from 1 species
UACGUAGGGUGCAAGCGUUAAUCGGAAUUACUGGGCGUAAAGCGUGCGCAGGCGGUUUUGUAAGUCUGUCGUGAAAUCCCCGGGCUCAACCUGGGAAUUGCGAUGGAGACUGCAAGGCUAGAAUCUGGCAGAGGGGGGUAGAAUUCCACGUGUGAGCAGUGAAAUGCGUAGAGAUGUGGAGGAACACCGAUGGCGAAGGCAGCCCCCUGGGUCAAGAUUGACGCUCAUGCACGAAAGCGUGGGGGAGCAAACAGG